rnacentral:rRNA from 1 species
GAUGAACGCUGGCGGCGUGCCUAACACAUGCAAGUCGAACGGAGAUUACGGACGGAAGUUUUCGGAUGGAAGCCUGUAAUUCUUAGUGGCGGACGGGUGAGUAACGCGUGGGCAACCUGCCCUAUACAGGGGGAUAGCAGCUGGAAACGGCUGGUAAGACCGCAUAAGUCGGUUAAAUCGCAUGAUUUGAUCGGGAAAUGAGCAAUCAGGUAUAGGAUGGGCCCGCGUCCGAUUAGCCAGUUGGCAGGGUAAAAGCCUACCAAAGCGACGAUCGGUAGCCGGACUGAGAGGUCGGGCGGCCACAUUGGGACUGAGACACGGCCCAAACUCCUACGGGAGGCAGCAGUGGGGGAUAUUGCACAAUGGAGGAAACUCUGAUGCAGCGACGCCGCGUGAGUGAAGAAGUAUUUCGGUAUGUAAAGCUCUAUCAGCAGGGAAGAUGAUGACGGUACCUGACGAAGAAGCCCCGGCUAACUACGUG